rnacentral:rRNA from 1 species
UGGGGAAUAUUGCACAAUGGAGGGAACUCUGAUGCAGCAACGCCGCGUGCGGGAUGACGGCCUUCGGGUUGUAAACCGCUUUCAGCCAUGACGAAGCUUUUGUGACGGUAGUGGUAGAAGAAGCACCGGCUAACUACGUGCCAGCAGCCGCGGUGAUACGUAGGGUGCGAGCGUUGUCCGGAAUUAUUGGGCGUAAAGAGCUUGUAGGCGGUUUGUCGCGUCGAUAGUGUAAACACGCAGCUUAACUGUGUGCCUGCUGUCGAUACGGGCGGACUAGAGGAGGGUAGGGGAGAAUGGAAUUCCCGGUGGAGCGGUGGAAUGCGCAGAUAUCGGGAGGAACACCAGUGGCGAAGGCGGUUCUCUGGACCUUUCCUGACGCUGAGAAGCGAAAGCGUGGGUAGCAAACAGG